UCGUGAGGGUGCCUGACGGUACUGUAGGAAUAAGCACCGGCUAACUCCGUGCCAGCAGCCGCGGUAAUACGGAGGGUGCGAGCGUUAUCCGGAUUUAUUGGGUUUAAAGGGUCCGUAGGCGGAUUAAUAAGUCAGUGGUGAAAUCCCAUCGCUUAACGAUGGAACUGCCAUUGAUACUGUUAGUCUUGAAUGAGGGUGCAGUGGUUGGAAUGUGUAGUGUAGCGGUGAAAUGCAUAGAUAUUACACAGAACACCGAUUGCGAAGGCAGAUCACUAACCCUAAAUUGACGCUGAGGGACGAAAGCGUGGGGAGCGAACAGGAUUAGAUACCCUGGUAG
rnacentral:rRNA from 1 species